rnacentral:rRNA from 1 species
ACUCCUACGGGGCAGGCAGUAGGGUAGGAUAUUGCACAAUGGGCGCAAGCCUGAUGCAGCCAUGCCGCGUGUGUGAAGAAGGCCUUCGGGUUGUAAAGCACUUUCAGUAAGGAGGAAAGGUUAGUAGUUAAUACCUGCUAGCUGUGACGUUACUUACAGAAGAAGCACCGGCUAACUCCGUGCCAGCAGCCGCGGUAAUACGGAGGGUGCGAGCGUUAAUCGGAAUUACUGGGCGUAAAGCGUACGCAGGCGGUUUGUUAAGCGAGAUGUGAAAGCCCG